AACGAACGCUGGCGGCAGGCCUAACACAUGCAAGUCGAGCGCACCUUCGGGUGAACGGCGGACGGGUUAGUAACGCGUGGGAAUGUACCCUUCUCUACGGAAUAGCCAUUGGAAACGAUGAGUAAUACCGUAUACGCCCUUUUGGGGAAAGAUUUAUCGGAGAAGGAUCAGCCCGCGUUAGAUUAGAUAGUUGGUGGGGUAAUGGCCUACCAAGUCUACGAUCUAUAGCUGGUUUUAGAGGAUGAUCAGCAACACUGGGACUGAGACACGGCCCAGACUCCUACGGGAGGCAGCAGUGGGGAAUCUUAGACAAUGGGCGCAAGCCUGAUCUAGCCAUGCCGCGUGAGUGAUGAAGGCCUUAGGGUCGUAAAGCUCUUUCGCCAGGGAUGAUAAUGACAGUACCUGGUAAAGAAACCCCGGCUAACUCCGUGCCAGCAGCCGCGGUAAUACGGAGGGGGUUAGCGUUGUUCGGAAUUACUGGGCGUAAAGCGCACGUAGGCGGAUUAGAAAGUAUGGGGUGAAAUCCCAGGGCUCAACCCUGGAACUGCCUCAUAAACUCCUAGUCUAGAGUUCGAGAGAGGUGAGUGGAAUUCCGAGUGUAGAGGUGAAAUUCGUAGAUAUUCGGAGGAACACCAGUGGCGAAGGCGGCUCACUGGCUCGAUACUGACGCUGAGGUGCGAAAGUGUGGGGAGCAAACAGG
rnacentral:rRNA from 1 species